rnacentral:rRNA from 1 species
AUUGAACGCUGGCGGCAUGCUUUACACAUGCUAGUCGAACGGUAACAGGGUGCUUGCACCGCUGACGAGUGGCGAACGGGUGAGUAAUGCGUCGGAACGUGCCGAGUAGUGGGGGAUAACGCAGCGAAAGUUGUGCUAAUACCGCAUACGUACUGAGGUAGAAAGUGGGGGACCUUCGGGCCUCACGCUAUUCGAGCGGCCGACGUCUGAUUAGCUAGUAGGUGAGGUAAAGGCUCACCUAGGCGACGAUCAGUAGCGGGUCUGAGAGGAUGGUCCGCCACACUUGGACUGAGACACGGCCCAGACUCCUACGGGAGGCAGCAGUGGGGAAUUUGGGACAAUGGGCGAAAGCCUGAUCCAGCCAUGCCGCGUGUCUGAAGAAGGCCUUCGGGUUGUAAAGGACUUUUGUCAGGGAGGAAAUCCCUAGUGCUAAUAACACUGGGGGAUGACAGUACCUGAAGAAUAAGCACCGGCUAACUACGUGCCAGCCGCCGCCGUAA